rnacentral:rRNA from 1 species
UGUUGAUCCUGCCGGCGGUCACCGCUAUUGGGGUUCGAUUAAGACAUGCGAGUCGAGAGUCUUCGGGACUCGGCGGACUGCUCAGUAACACGUAGAUAACCUGCCCUCAGGAGGAGGAUAAUCUCGGGAAACUGAGGCUAAUACUCCAUAGGUCAUGGAUGCUGGAAUGCUCCAUGGCUGAAAGCUCCGGCGCCUGAGGAUGGGUCUGCGGCCUAUCAGGUAGUAGUUGGGGUAACGGCCCAACUAGCCUAAAACGGGUACGGGCCUUGAGCGAGGAAGCCCGGAGAUGGACUCUGAGACACGAGUCCAGGCCCUACGGGGCGCAGCAGUCGCGAAAACUUCACACUGCGGGAAACCGUGAUGAGGGAACCCCAAGUGCCCAGGCGUUAGUCUGGGCUGUUCACAUGCCUAAAAAGCAUGUGAAGUAAGGGCUGGGUAAGACCGGUGCCAGCCGCCGCGGUAAUACCGGCAGCCCAAGUGGUGAUCCCUAUUAUUGAGCCUAAAACGUCCGUAGCCGGCCCGGCAAAUCUCUGGGCAAAUCGGGCAGCUUAACUGUUCGAAUUCUGGAGAGACUACCGGGCUUGAGACCGGGAGAGGCCAGAGGUACGUCAGGGGUAGGGGUAAAAUCCUUUAAUCCUUGACGGACCACCGGUGGCGAAGGCGUCUGGCUAGAACGGAUCUGACGGUAAGGGACGAAGGCUAGGGGCGCAAACCGGAUUAGAUACCCGGGUAGUCCUAGCUGUAAACGCUGCAGGCUUGGUGUUGGAACUCCUUAGAGGGGUUCCAGUGCCGUAGCGAAGGUGUUAAGCCUGCUGCUU